CAGGGUACUCGAGUGGCGAACGGGUGAGUAACACGUGGGUGAUCUGCCCUGCACUUCGGGAUAAGCUUGGGAAACUGGGUCUAAUACCGGAUAGGAACCAUCUUUAGUGUGGUGGUUGGAAAGUUUUUUCGGUGUAGGAUGAGCUCGCGGCCUAUCAGCUUGUUGGUGGGGUAAUGGCCUACCAAGGCGGCGACGGGUAGCCGGCCUGAGAGGGUGGACGGCCACAUUGGGACUGAGAUACGGCCCAG
rnacentral:rRNA from 1 species